rnacentral:SRP_RNA from 1 species
AGGUCGGUCGGACGGGCCCCUCGCCAACCCGGUCAGGUCCGGAAGGAAGCAGCCGUAACGAGUUUUGCCCGGGUCGAAUUAAACCGGUCUUCC